AUUGAACGCUGGCGGCAUGCUUUACACAUGCAAGUCGAACGGUAACAGGCCGCAAGGUGCUGACGAGUGGCGAACGGGUGAGUAAUGCAUCGGAACGUGCCCAGUCGUGGGGGAUAACGCAGCGAAAGCUGCGCUAAUACCGCAUACGAUCUAUGGAUGAAAGCGGGGGACCGUAAGGCCUCGCGCGAUUGGAGCGGCCGGUGUCAGAUUAGGUAGUUGGUGGGGUAAAGUCUCACCAAGCCAACGAUCGGUAGCUGGUCUGAGAGGACGACCAGCCACACUGGGACGGAGACACGGCCCAGACUCCUACGGGAGGCAGCAGUGGGGAAUUUUGGACAAUGGGCGCAAGCCUGAUCCAGCAAUGCCGCGUGCAGGAAGAAGGCCUUCGGGUUGUAAACUGCUUUUGUACGGAACGAAACGGUCCUGGUUAAUACCUGGGGCUAAUGACGGUACCGUAAGAAUAAGCACCGGCUAACUACGUGCCAGCAGCCGCCGUAAGAC
rnacentral:rRNA from 1 species